UACGUAGGUGGCAAGCGUUGUCCGGAUUUACUGGGCGUAAAGAGCGCGCAGGCGGUCGUUCAAGUCGCGUGUGAAAGCCCCCGGCUCAACUGGGGAGGGUCACGCGAUACUGAUCGACUCGAAGGCAGGAGAGGGUAGUGGAAUUCCCGGUGUAGUGGUGAAAUGCGUAGAUAUCUGGAGGAAUACCGGUGGCGAAGGCGGCAUCCUGGACCGACAUUGACGCUGAUGAGCGAAAGCUAGGGGAGCAAACGGG
rnacentral:rRNA from 1 species